UAAAAGAUAAGCUAAAAAAGCUACCGGGCUCAUACCCCGUAAAUGAAAGUAGAAUCUUUCUCUUUUUA
rnacentral:tRNA from 1 species